rnacentral:rRNA from 1 species
AUUGAACGCUGGCGGCAGGCCUAACACAUGCAAGUCGAACGAGCGGCGGACGGGUGAGUAAUGUAUGGGAAACUGCCCGAUGGAGGGGGAUAACUACUGGAAACGGUAGCUAAUACCGCAUACUAUCGGAUGAACCCAUAUGGGAUUAGCUAGUAGGUGGGGUAAAGGCUCACCAAGUCGACGAUCCCUAGCUGGUCUGAGAGGAUGACCAGCCACACUGGAACUGAGACACGGUCCAGACUCCUACGGGAGGCAGCAGUGGGGAAUAUUGCACAAUGGGCGCAAGCCUGAUGCAGCCAUGCCGCGUGUAUGAAGAAGGCCUUCGGGUUGUAAAGUACUUUCAGCGGGGAGGCGUUACCCGCAGAAGAAGCACCGGCUAACUCCGUGCCAGCAGCCGCGGUAAUUC